GUGGGGAAUAUUGGACAAUGGGCGAAAGCCUGAUCCAGCCAUGCCGCGUGUGUGAAGAAGGUCUUCGGAUUGUAAAGCACUUUAAGUUGGGAGGAAGGGCAGUAAGUUAAUACCUUGCUGUUUUGACGUUACCGACAGAAUAAGCACCGGCUAACUUCGUGCCAGCAGCCGCGGUAAUACGAAGGGUGCAAGCGUUAAUCGGAAUUACUGGGCGUAAAGCGCGCGUAGGUGGUUUUGUAAGUUGGAAGUGAAAUCCCCGGGCUCAACCUGGGAACUGCUUUCAAAACUGCUGAGCUAGAGUACGGUAGAGGGUGGUGGAAUUUCCUGUGUAGCGGUGAAAUGCGUAGAUAUAGGAAGGAACACCAGUGGCGAAGGCGACUACCUGGACUGAUACUGACACUGAGGUGCGAAAGCGUGGGGAGCAAACAGGAUUAGAUACCCCUGUAGUCC
rnacentral:rRNA from 1 species